CCUGAUCUUGUACACACCGCCCGUCACAUGUUGAAAAUAAGCUUUUUUUGAAGAGUUUUUAAGAAUUCAAAAAGUCUUUUUUACUUUAGGUGAAAAUUUAUAAUUAAGAUGAAGUCGUAACAAGGUAGUUGUUCGGGAACGAGCAGCUGGAA
rnacentral:rRNA from 1 species